UACGUAGGGGGCGAGCGUUGUCCGGAUUUAUUGGGCGUAAAGAGCGUGUAGGCGGCCAGGUAGGUCUGCUGUGAAAACUCGAGGCUCAACCUCGAGACGUCGGCGGAAACCAUCUGGCUAGAGUCCGGAAGAGGAGAGUGGAAUUCCUGGUGUAGCGGUGAAAUGCGCAGAUAUCAGGAGGAACACCGAUGGCGAAGGCAGGUCUCUGGGCAUUAACUGACGCUGAGGAGCGAAAGCAUGGGGAGCGAACAGG
rnacentral:rRNA from 1 species